GUGCUCGCUUCAGCAGCACAUAUACUAAAAUUGGAAUGAUACAGAGAAGAUUAGCAUGGUCCCUGCACAAGGAUGACAUGCAAAUUCAUGAAGCGUUCCAUAUAUUU
rnacentral:snRNA from 1 species